UUUAUUUUGAUAACUCAAUCUUAGUUAAAAGCAAUAGCAUUUGCUUUAUUGCAAUAGUAUUGGAUGAUAUACAAGUGUUAUUGUUGCCUUUUGCUGAAUAUGUAUGUGGAGCAAGAGUGAUAUAGGUACAUUGAAACCAUUGCUCUCCUGAGGUCAUGAGCUCAAGUCCGGACUGUUGAAAUUCUCUUUCCAGUUCACCAAUCUACACUGCUGCAAUUACUGGUGAAGCAGUUAUGUGGCAUGACAUAAAGUUCAUGUAUAGGUCCCUAUCACAAUAAAGGGGUUUGACAUUAAUUGGUAAACAAUGUUUGUCACACAGCUUACAGGUAAAGAUUGCAAAUUUAUAAAGAUAUUUUGAUAAAACUUGUGAAAUGGUUGGCAAAUGAAAAUAUUCCAGCGCUGUAUGUAAUGAUAAGAAUGAAAAUUUGAAGUAUACAUACAGGUAUAGUGCCAUAAAAUGUUGGGAAUUAUCUAGUAGUGUUAAUUGUGUAUGUAAUACAGUAAUAGCUUGUUAUAUAUAAUUCACAGCCUUCUCUAUUAAUACUUUAAAUAGGACUAUCCAAUGCAAAAUGUAAAACAAAAGAGAUUUUAAUGGUUAGAUUUAAAUAAACAGUUUUGUAAAUUGUUUGUUGUGUAGGAGACAGAACAGAUGUAACUAACAGUAAAAUUAUAUGAAAUUCAUUUUUUUGAUUUUUGUUCACAUUUUUUUGUUCACUUUCUAUUUGCUUGAUGAAUUUUAUAGCAUGAAAGUCCAUUUAAGUUUCAGAUUACUAUUUUGUUACUUUAUUUUGCAGGAGUAAAACAUUGUAAUAUUUUAUCUUUCAAAAUAAAUCACAUAUAUCAAGGUAUUAGUGCUGAAUAUUAUAACCUGUGGUAGUCUGAUUUAAACCAGCUCCUAAAUAAUGUUUCUUUUUAUAUCAAACAUAUAAAGGUCUGUUCAAGAGGUUAUAAAAGUUUUCUUUGUUCUGUCUCAAAUCUUUGGACUUUCUUAGGUCAGUGUAAACUGUGUAAUUUUGGAUACCAUAAUGACAUUUUCUGCCCUUCAUUGUAAGCAAAUAUAUUUUAGCAACAAGCCAAUAAGUAUAUGUGUGGUAGUUAGAACUAAUACAAGGGUUGAUCCAUAUAAUCAUAAACUUAUACAAUAUAAAGUUAUAAAGUUACUUCACAUAUGAAUGAAAAGCAAAAUACAUUGUCAUAAAAUAUACUCUUACUUAUAUCGUAAAUGAAAAUUUUGCACAAAACUAUACAGACAGGUACAAUAAGUGCCUGUUAUAUAUACUUAAUGUUAAAGCCAUCGUCUCAAAGCACCUCAUUUCAAUAUUGAAGACAUUUCAAUAUUGACGUGAUAAACAUUCUAUGCUAGUUUCUGACCAAUCAAAUAGCUGAAAUCAUAGUUCGAGUCUAGAGAAUUUCUUUAUAACCUUGUAUUGUAAUCUGUGUUUUAUUAACAUUAAUAAUUAGUACUAUUAAGUUGCCAUCCUUUCUUAUUGCCAUGGUGUAACAAGUGUUUUAUUUGUUCAAAGUAGUGCCUACCUUUACAUAUCACCUCUUUUCAAUCAAACUACUGAUUAUUCAGGUUAUAUGGAAUGUUAAGUUUUAUUAAAGCAGAAAAAAAGUUAAAUUUUG